GACGAACGCUGGCGGCGUGCUUAACACAUGCAAGUCGAACGGAAAGGCCCUGCUUUUGUGGGUUUCUCGAGUGGCGAACGGGUGAGUAACACGUGAGUAACCUGCCCUUGACUGUGGGAUAACUUCAGGAAACUGGGGCUAAUACCGGAUAUGAGCUCCUGCUGCAUGGGGGGGGUUGGAAAGUUUCGGCUGUUGGGGAUGGACUCGCGGCUUAUCAGCUUGUUGGUGGGGUAGUGGCUUACCAAGGCUUUGACGGGUAGCCGGCCUGAGAGGGUGACCGGCCACAUUGGGACUGAGAUACGGCCCAGACUCCUACGGGAGGCAGCAGUGGGGAAUAUUGCACAAUGGGCGGAAGCCUGAUGCAGAAACGCCGCGUGCGGGAUGACGGCCUUCGGGUUGUAAACCGCUUUCGCCUGUGACGAAGCGUGAGUGACGGUAAUGGGUAAAGAAGCACCGGCUAACUACGUG
rnacentral:rRNA from 1 species